GGACUGAGACCGGCCAGUCUACGGAGCAGCAUGGACUUUGACAAUGGGGCAGCCUGAUCAGCAUGCCGGGUGUGUGAGGAGCUCGGGUGUAAGCACUUUGUCGAAAGAAAAGCUCUGGUAUCUGGGGGAUGACGUACCGAAGAAUAAGCACGGCUAACUACGUGCAGCAGCGCGUAAUACGUAGGGUGCAAGCGUUAAUCGGAAUUACUGGGCGUAAAGCGUGCGCAGGCGGUUCGCUAAGACAGAUGUGAAUCCCCGGGCUUAACCUGGGAACUGCAUUUGUGACUGGCGGGCUAGAGUAUGGCAGAGGGGGGUAGAAUUCCACGUGUAGCAGUGAAAUGCGUAGAGAUGUGGAGGAAUACCGAUGGCGAAGGCAGCCCCGUGGGCCAAUACUGACGCUCAUGCACGAAAGCGUGGGGAGCAAACAGGAUUAGAUACCCUGGUAGUCCACGCCCUAAACGAUGUCAACUAGUUGUCGGGUCUUCAUUGACUUGGUAACGUAGCUAACGCGUGAAGUUGACCGCCUGGGGAGUACGGUCGCAAGAUUAAAACUCAAAGGAAUUGACGGGGACCCGCACAAGCGGUGGAUGAUGUGGAUUAAUUCGAUGCAACGCGAAAACCUUACCUACCCUUGACAUGUAUGGAACCUGCUGAGAGGUGGGGGUGCCGAAAGGGAGCCAUAACACAGUGCUGCAUGCUGUCGUCAGCUCGUGUCGUGAGAUGUUGGUUAAGUCCCGCACGAGCGCAACCUUGUCCUUAGUGCUACGCAGAGCACUCUAGGGAGACUGCGUGACAUGAGAGUGGGAUGACGUCAGUCUCUGGCCUUAGGUAGGUCCGUCUACAUGUCGGAACAGAGGUUGGCCAACCCG
rnacentral:rRNA from 1 species